rnacentral:rRNA from 1 species
GACGAACGCUGGCGGCGCGCCUAACACAUGCCAGUCGAACGAGCGAGCGAGAGCUUGCUUUCUCAAGCGAGUGGCGAACGGGUGAGUAACGCGUGAGGAACCUGCCUCAAAGAGGGGGACAACAGUUGGAAACGACUGCUAAUACCGCAUAAGCCCACAGGUCGGCAUCGACCAGAGGGAAAAGGAGCAAUCCGCUUUGAGAUGGCCUCGCGUCCGAUUAGCUAGUUGGUGAGGUAACGGCCCACCAAGGCAACGAUCGGUAGCCGGACUGAGAGGUUGAACGGCCACAUUGGGACUGAGACACAGCCCAGACUCCUACGGGAGGCAGCAGUGGGGAAUAUUGCACAAUGGGGGAAACCCUGAUGCAGCGACGCCGCGUGGAGGAAGAAGGUCUUCGGAUUGUAAACUCCUGUUGUUGAGGAAGAUAAUGACGGUACUCAACAAGGAAGUGACGGCUAACUACGUG